GACGGAGGAUGCAAGCGUUAUCCGGAAUGAUUGGGCGUAAAGCGUCCGCAGGUGGCAGUUCAAGUCUGCUGUCAAAGACCGGGGCUUAACUUCGGAAAGGCAGUGGAAACUGAACAGCUAGAGUAUGGUAGGGGCAGAGGGAAUUCCUGGUGUAGCGGUGAAAUGCGUAGAGAUCGGGAGGAACAUCAGUGGCGAAGGCGGCCAUCUGGGACAACACUGACGCUGAGGCACGAAAGCGUGGGGAGCAAACAGG
rnacentral:rRNA from 1 species